rnacentral:rRNA from 1 species
ACCAGCUCUUCGAGUGGUGUGGAUGUUUAUUGGGCCUAAAGCAUCCGUAGCUGGCUAGGUCAGUCCCUUGUUAAAUCCACCGAAUUAAUCGUUGGAUCGCGGGGGAUACUGCUUGGCUAGGGGACGAGAGAGGCAGACGGUAUUUUCGGGGUAGGGGUGAAAUCCUAUAAUCCCGGGAAGACCACCAGUGGCGAAGGCUGUCUGCUAGAACGCGCCCGACGGUGAGGGAUGAAAGCUGGGGGAGCGAACCG